rnacentral:tRNA from 1 species
ACUGAUUUAGCAUAUUUUUAAUGUGGCGGGUUGUAAACCCUUUGAAAUCUCGGAAGUUAAUCAGGA